CCUACGGGAGGCAGCAGUGGGGAAUUUUGGACAAUGGGCGCAAGCCUGAUCCAGCCAUGCCGCGUGCGGGAAGAAGGCCUUCGGGUUGUAAACCGCUUUUGUCAGGGAAGAAAAGGUUCUGGUUAAUACCUGGGACUUAUGACGGUACCUGAAGAAUAAGCACCGGCUAACUACGUGCCAGCAGCCGCGGUAAUACGUAGGGUGCAAGCGUUAAUCGGAAUUACUGGGCGUAAAGCGUGCGCAGGCGGUUAUGCAAGACAGAUGUGAAAUCCCCGGGCUCAACCUGGGAACUGCAUUUGUGACUGCAUGGCUAGAGUACGGUAGAGGGGGAUGGAAUUCCGCGUGUAGCAGUGAAAUGCGUAGAUAUGCGGAGGAACACCGAUGGCGAAGGCAAUCCCCUGGACCUGUACUGACGCUCAUGCACGAAAGCGUGGGGAGCAAACAGGAUUAGAUACCCUGGUAGUCCACGCCCUAAACGAUGUCAACUGGUUGUUGGGAGGGUUUCUUCUCAGUAACGAAGCUAACGCGUGAAGUUGACCGCCUGGGGAGUACGGCCGCAAGGUUGAAACUUAAAGGAAUUGACGG
rnacentral:rRNA from 1 species